UGUCCUUUGCGAUACAGUUGGUAAUGAUAAGAUCAGGUUAUGAAUAUAUUUCAGUUCUUGUUGACUAAUAACAUUUUGAUAUUUAUGAUGAAAAGGCCAUGGAAGUUUAAUAUUUAAAAUAUUAAAAUAUCAAAAGUGACAAUAGGAAGAAUAAUGUUUUCUAAAAUGUGCUCUUCCAUGAUUAUAUUUGCUGUGGAGUACAGGUGUCGGCAAUUUCUUUCUUAAAAGAUUUUUUUAUACUCAUUUAAUUGCUAAGAGGAAUUAAAUAAGUGACAAUCCGUGGGGAUUCCUUGCUGGUUUAUGUAGUCAGUUGUUACAUUUGAAAAAAUGACUUUGUAACUCAUGAUUUCAUACUUUGGAAAAGCAGGGCUUUUUUUUGCUUGUUUUGGGUUUGUUGUUUUUUUUUCAGUGUAUGAGCUUGUAGUUUUUGCUGGGCAGAUUAGUCCUGGAUAUUUCAAAUACUCUCAAAUAACGUAUUCUUCUCUUUCAGUGACUGUGUCAAGAACAUGACUGCUGCAACAUAUAUCCACAUGUAGGUGGUCAGCACAGCAGGAAAAUGCUAGGACUAUACGACAAAUGAUAGGUAUAAAUUAUUUGCAAGCUCAGGUAACUGCAAUUUGACUUUUUUGAGUGUGUAACAAUGCCCCCGGAGAAGAAAGUGUGAAUUUCUUCAGAUCAUUGCAUUUUCAUGGUCUUGGCAUUAAGCAAAGGUAGCAACUCUAGGUUUUUGGAUUUCUCUACUCAUAAAUAAAAGCCAUUUUGUUUUUUAAGUCUAAUUUUUGCGUGAAAUAUGUAUAUUCUAAUCCUUGCUGAGAAGUCUUCAAGGAAUAACAGUGGAGGGUUUUUGGUAUAAUAUUUCAUCUCACAUGCUUGCAGGAACCAUACAUCUUUGGUGUUGAAGUUGCGGCACCUAUAUCAAGGGCUUGUGUAUCAAAGCCAUGUUCUUCUGUAUUCUAGUGUUUAAAAAUUUGCUGAUCAUGACUGACAGGUUUAGAGAGCUAACAUGUUCUAGAGUUGUGGGUGAUUUAUCCCAGAAUAACUUAGGUAAUUCAGAGAAUUUAGCUGCCACAGUCUUCCUUCUCAUCACAGAAAAAAAAGUGCCUAUUAGGAUUGAUUGCAUUUCCUUUAAGAUUUUUCAUUAGAGAAGGGACUUCAUCCUACAGCGUCCUCAAGUAACAAUAAUUUCAUUGCUAAUGGUCCCAUACAGAGAACCAAGUCUGUAUACAGAGCUCAUGAGACAAAUAAAUGCCUGGCAGGAUGAGUGGAAAUCGUUCUUACAAGAAGACAUGAUAUAUGACUUGGAUGCCACAAUCCUCGUACAGGCACUGAACCUGGCCUCCCUUAUCUCCACUACAUAAUACCAUGAUGUUCAUAGAAGCAGAAGUAUGCAGAAGAGCUAAAUGCAGGCACUCAGUUGAAAUCUUCUAAUCUGAUCACAUUUUUUUUUAAAUUCUUUUUUAUUCUUCAGUGGAAAUUAACUUCUUUCCCAUUAUGCUGGUUUUGGUUG